rnacentral:lncRNA from 10 species
GUGAGAGUGAGACCUUGUCUCAAAAAACAAACCAAAAGCCUGAGACAAGUGCCCUGACUGGCAAAGAGGAGACGCUUUGGCUGGGGAUUCUAGAACACCAGCAUUCCAGAAAAUGCAUAAAGGUGCCCUUUCUCAAAGCUUCCAUGGACUCGUUGGCUUCCAGAUCCCUGAGGAAGUUGCAAGACCCUAAUGAAGAAGCGGCUGUAUCAUAUCACCUGCCAGAUGGGGCUUAGGCAGCCUCCCAGAGCUUCCUACACCGAAGAAUCACACAGGAGCAGCAGAGCCAUCCCUGAGUGCCCAUGGGUAGCAUAGUAGCGGGAGAAGGAAACACAAGCUCUUGAAUUGCUCACUGAGCACAGGGUUGAGCAUGGGGUGCCCUGGCAGUUGCCUGCCUAACCAGAUGACAUGACAUCCCAUCCACUGUGCCUCGACACCAGGUAGGCUUCCCAUUUCUUAGUCACAAAACUGGGGGAAAGUGGGUGGAGGAGUAAAUCCCAAACCUAGUGACCCUGCGUUUUGCCACCCCAGUGGAAUAGUGAGCUACAUAAAAUGAUGAAAAUGUUAUUUCUUUAGUGCCUGUUUUUGUUGACUGAGAUGUAUGAUACAUACCUGGCAUGUACUCAUGGGAGAAAAAUGGGACAUUUAAAUAAGACUGUAAGAUACGGCUGGACAUGGUGGCUCAUGCCUGUAAUCCCAGCACCUGGGGAAGCUGAGGCGG